CACACCUUGACAACCUGACACAUAGGUGUGUUUGUUAGGACAGAAUAAAAAUUUGGACUAGACUAUGUGAAACAUCUUUUCUAUAUCAGUAAUGAUAAACAGUGCUUGGUUGUUUCCUUAACUUCAAUGUCCUCUUAAAAGAAAGUGUCAAUAAACACAAAUUUCUUCUUGCAGAUUACUAUUAUUCUGUGGUGAACCCUUUCUCUCUUGAUGGGUGUGGUCUCUUGGAGGAUGACCCCACCCACAUCCGUGAGGUCAUGAGUGCUCUGUGAAAUUUUCUGAUCAGGAUUAAAAUGAUGUGAAUAUUUAUGCAUAUCUCUUACUAGUCUCAACCCAAUUGUAUACCUGUGGAAGAUGGUCUGUUCUUUAAUACAGAUUUUUUUAUGACCAUCAUCAAAACAACACCCCAUUUUGGAAAACAGUGGAAAUUGCCCAGAAGGAUAUCAUAAGAGAUAUUGACAGAGAACUGUAUCACAUCUCAGCUACGAAGGUCCAUGUUCAGUCAGCAAGGAAGGACUCCUCAAGAAUGCAUGAAGAAAGAAACACUUUGGGCGAUUCCGAUAAUAUCUCAUGAGACGUAAGGCGAGGCAGUUCCUGAGGCAGUUCCUGUAGCCGUGACUCAGAGUGAGCUUGGCCGGAAGGGAGGCCAGGAGAGACCGCAGGAUGUUUUGGAUAAACAGGAGCAAACCCAGCAUGUGUGGUCAAGCUAAUGAGCUACAGCAAGCAAAAUGAACUUGUUCCAUAGUGCCCCACAGGCAUCCUUCUCUCACCAGGAACAAGUAGCUCAAACAUACUGUGCUGUACACCUGAUAAGACUGAACACAUUGUACAAAUCCAUCAUUGUUUUUUUUUUAGCUUUGCCUUAAUGAAAUUUGUAGAAAUGUUUGUUUUUUUGUCAGUAAAUUACAAGGCUGAAAUGGUGUAAAUAGCUCAGCCUGACUAAGAAUGAAUAAUGAAGUUCUUGAGUUCAUUCUUAUAUGUAGUUCCAUGUGCAACACAGGAAGAACUUUAAAAAUCUCAAUUUAGGAGGCAUUGUACAUCCAAGAAGAACAUCAGCUACGACCAACAAGCAAAUGAAAAGCUUCGACAUAUUUUAAUUUUUUUUUUUUUCAGAUGCAUGUCAGAGUCUGGUUGUAAAGGCCUGCUUGAUUCAACUCAUCAGCUUAUUACCUAGGCUUCCAUGAGCUAAAUUUUGUGUGUGAGAAGAGGAUAAAAACUAACGUGUGUAGGGCUGUGGUCGACCACAACAUCCUACAGAGUGCCCUGCCUGUACUUUUCAAGAUGUCUGUAGUAUCGGGCACAAAACGGGGCCCCUCCUGUGAGCAUGGGCGUCUCUGCGGUGCUUUGCAGAGGGGGCUGGGUACAACACAGGGAUGACUCUGUCUACAGGCCAAAUUCUAGUAUGCUGGUGUGCAUGUACACAAAGAUUUUGUGUAAAUUAUUACAAAUACCAAACGUGUAUUAAAUUUUUGUUUAACAAAAACAACAAUAUGAUUAUUUAGCAGUUGAUGUUGUGCAAGACGAAUAUUUUUGGAGUGAAUCUCCGUUUUUUUUUUUUUUUUGUCUUAUUAGCUUAAAUAAAGUAACUUAUCUCUCUAUAACUGCUAUAACUCAUGGACAUUAAAAUUGACAUAGCAAAUUACCAACUUUCCUUUGUAUUGUGCCAAUCUCAUAUACCCAGUAUUGAUAAUUUUCCUAUAACAGCACUUUCAUGUGGUUUAUUUCUUAUACCUAGC